UGGGGAAUCUUGCACAAUGGGCGAAAGCCUGAUGCAGCCAUGCCGCGUGAAUGAUGAAGGCCUUAGGGUUGUAAAAUUCUUUCGCCAGGGAUGAUAAUGACAGUACCUGGUAAAGAAGCUCCGGCUAACUUCGUGCCAGCAGCCGCGGUAAUACGAAGGGGGCUAGCGUUGUUCGGAAUUACUGGGCGUAAAGCGCGCGUAGGCGGACUUUUAAGUCGAGGGUGAAAGCCCGGGGCUCAACCCCGGAACGGCCUUCGAGACUGGGCAGCUCGAGACCGGAAGAGGAGGGUGGAAUACCCAGUGUAGAGGUGAAAUUCGUAGAUAUUGGGUGGAACACCAGUGGCGAAAGCGGCUCUCUGGUCCGGAUCUGACGCUGAGGCGCGAAAGCGUGGGGAGCAAACAGGAUUAGAUACCCCUGUAGUCC
rnacentral:rRNA from 1 species